rnacentral:rRNA from 1 species
GACGAACCGAGCGAACGUUGUUCGGAAUCACUGGGCUUAAAGGGCGCGUAGGCGGGUGCUCAAGUCCGGGGGGAAAUCCUCCAGCUCAACUGGAGAACUGCCUCGGAUACUGGGUGCCUCGAGUGUGGUAGGGGUGUGCGGAACUAUCGGUGGAGCGGUGAAAUGCGUUGAUAUCGAUAGGAACUCCGGUGGCGAAGGCGGCACACUGGACCACAACUGACGCUGAGGCGCGAAAGCCAGGGGAGCAAACGGG